GAAUAAUAACGAGGUGCAAAAAGGAGAAAGCAAAUCGCCAACUUGUCACAGUCAGUCAGAUUAGCUUUGAGCAAACUGUUCUUCUAGAAGAUCUAGCUCAACGCAUUCAUAUCUGUGAGUGAGUGAUUAUUUGCCAUGCAAAAUAAAUCAACGAUUCGCUUCAAAGGCACGGGCAAAUGUCAAGGCUAAGUAACAGCAAACAUUUCACCACCCAUCUAAGGCCAACAAUCACCCAUCGUCAUGCAGGGCUAUGAUUUAUGGUUUCUCAUUCAACCGUCACGAAUAAACUUUUUGCCACCACAAGACGACGGCCACCACCAGCAUGAGUGUCAAUUCGUAUAGCAGGGUCCCAGCUAGCAGAAGAAGUUCAUUAUCGUCCAUCCAUCCAUUCAGUCAGCCGCAUCCAUAUGGAUCUGCCCGCCUACAUGAUGUGGAAUCUCGAGUGCGUCUCCUUAUUCCCGUCCGCUUGAACGUCCAUCGGUUGCAUCGUCCAGCGUCGACAGAACGGACAGAAAUGGCAAACAAACGGACACAUAUUGGAUUUCUGUUGCGGAUGGAUCUUAUGCGUCGUCGUGCAGUGCGUGAUGUCUGCAAUGAAGGUUGAAUGUGUGACAUUCGAUUACAUUUUUUAUUCGGAAUACAUUCAUCGAACAAUGUUGCAACAUGCAGAUUGGGAAAUACAUUUUUUUUUUUUGCAUGCGUGACAAAGUUUGUGAGAAUCAUACAGAUAGGAACAAUACAAAUUCGCUAUUUGACAGUAGAACAAAUAAGAAAAAUCUCGAAAUACAGUGAAAUUUGUCAUUAGGAGAA